CGCGUAGGCGGAUGGCUUAGUCAGGUGUGAAAUUCCCGGGCUUAACCUGGGGGCUGCAUUUGAGACGGGUUGUCUAGAGUUUGGAAGAGGGUCGUGGAAUUCCCAGUGUAGAGGUGAAAUUCGUAGAUAUUGGGAAGAACACCGGUGGCGAAGGCGGCGACCUGGUCCUUGACUGACGCUGAGGCGCGAAAGCGUGGGGAGCAAACA
rnacentral:rRNA from 1 species